CGGGGUGUAGCGCAGUUGGUAGCGCGCAGCGUUCGGGACGCUGAGGUCCCGGGUUCGAGUCCCGGCACCCCGACCA
rnacentral:tRNA from 2 species